CGCGGGAAAGAAGAGGAUAAAAGAAGACUGGAGAACAUCGGAGAGCAGUUCCUCUUUGAACCCAGUUUGAACUUGAACUCUCCAGCUUGUUUAGCAAGCCACGGAAGACGAUCGUUUGCUAACUCACAGUGACAAGUCAGACGGCAAUGUAACCUGUUCCCACGCAGCUUGAGUCCUGAGUCCAGUUUGAUUCCAGUGUCCUGUUCCUUGGCUGAGGAUCGAUCCCGGACAGAGUCUUGCGGAGACACCAGAGAGAACAACAAGCGACCGGCCACGCCCUCGCAGCUGGACUGGAAAAAUAUAAAUGUGGCCCGAGUAAGGCUGGAGGUAAGCUGGAAACAUGAGGAGACACCAGUGGCGAACCGUCAGGGCCUUCAAGGUAUUCAGAGAAUACCCUGGAACACUCAGAUAAAACAAA